ACAUGCCUACAACAUAGUGUCAAUGCACUAGAUCCCAUUAUAACUCUGCAGUGAAGUGCGCUCAUGCUAGAGUAGUACUAGGAUGGGUGACCACUCGGGAAGUUAUAGUGUUUUACAUGCC
rnacentral:rRNA from 1 species